UCCUGGUUAAUUUGUGCCAAUUUGAACUUAAAAAAAGAUCAUUAUAGCUAAUUGAAAUAAAAAUUCAUGAGGCUGUAAUGGCACUUUAAAAAGAAAAAAUGUACAUACAUUGCAUAAAAGGAAAUCAAGACCUAAAUAUGCAAAUACUAAAGAAUAUGCUUAAUUUUUAAAAUGUAUUAUUAUUAUUUUUUUGGCCAUGCCUGGGACAUGUGAAAGUUGCUGGGCCAGGGACUGAACCUGUGUUGAUAGCAUUGACCCAAGCUAUAGCAGUGACAAUGCCAAAUCCUUAAUUACUAGGCCACCAGGGAACUCUAAAUGUAUUUUUAAUAAACAGGGAAAUAUUGACAUUUGUGGAUAUCCUACUCUUUGUAUUAAAUGUAUGACAGUUAAUAAACUAUAUAAAUAUUUAUUGAUUCUAAGUUUUUUUUUUUUCCCAUUUUAUCAUCUCUAAAAUUGGGCUUCUACAAUGGAUGGCUUUUAUUGAUGAAGACCUGUGUGUUCAUACUUGAUCAGAGCUGUUUACAAUGUUUUCACUUGAGUUGUGUAAAGUGCACUGCACUGCUGGAAUUUUUACAGGUUGAAUUUAACCACUAUUUGAAAUGUCUUUAAAAAGUUUCUACUGUAAUUUUGUCAUUGAAAUGAGGUGUUGUGUACACAGAAAGGCAGUGAAACAGAGCAGUGGAAUGUGCCUUUGUUAUUAGCAAAGGCUUCAUCUUCAGAGGAAUGGCAACAUAUUUUCCAUAUUUACUUUCAAUGUACUAACCAAGUGCUUUAUGGAAACUGAGAAAGAGAGAUAUCCACUUUCAGACGAAACUAUGUUAUACUCUGUUACUAAGAUACAUACAAAAAGAUUCUUAUUACUCAACAAGAAAUACAACCGAAGAAAGGAAAAAUUGCCAAAUCCCUUGUAAUAAUUUCAGAGUAAUGAGAAGCUAGUUUAGCUGAUUCCUAAGUCAUGCAAGACUAUUUUUAAGGCAUUGUGCCACAGUUUAAAUAGUUUUUUUCUUCUUAUAUAAAGGAGGGUAUAUAAAGGUAUAUAAAAUAAUGGAACAGCUGACAAUAGCACCUUACGAUUGAUAAAAUACAGUAUGUAUUUUUCUCUAUUUGAUUAAGAAGGGAAAAGAAGUCAUAGAACUGUAAGCCAGCCAAAUAAAAAGUAGGAACUCUACAAGGAUAGGAAGAACUAGGAAAGAGAUUCCAAGAGAGAGUAGAAAUAUGGUGGAUUAGCCACGUGUUCCAAAGAGGCAGGCAGCAGAGGAAAAGAGAAGAUGGCAGAGUAGAAGGACCUUGAGUUCACCUUUUCCCAUGAGAACACAAAAAUCACAACUACUGAUGAACAAUCAUUGAUUAAAAAAGAUUGGAAACUACCAAAAAAUAUAUUCUACAUCCAAAGACAAAAGAAGCCACAAUGAGAUGGUAGGAGGGGUGCACUCCAGAUAAAAUUGAAUCCCAUAUCCCCAUAAACUGUGGAACAAUUAUAUUGCAUUGCAGAAGUUCUGUCAUAGGAGUGAGAGUUCUGAGCCCCAUGUCAGCCUCCUCAGCAUGGGGGUCUGGAAUUGGGAAGAGGAAUCCCCAGAGAAUUUGGCUAUGAAAGCCAGUGGCUUGAUCACAGGAUCUCCACAGGACUGGAGGGAACAGAGGCUCCACUCUUGGAGGGUGCACACCAGGUCUCAUGUGCACUUGGACCUAGCACAAAAGCAGUGACUUCAUAGGAGCCUGGGCCAGACCUACCUGCUGAUCUCAGAAGGUCUCCUGGGAAGGCAGGUGGCAGCUAUGGGUCUCUGGGGUCAUAAAAGCUGGUGGUAGAAAUAUCAAAACUGUUCACCUACAUGAAUUCUUGUUGGGAGCAGGCAUCUUGCUUGAGAAAUUAGUACAAAAACCUGGCCCCACCCAACUGUCUGUAGGCUUCAGUGCUGGAACUCCUUAGGCCACACAACAAACAAGGUGGGAACACAGCCUCACCCAUCAGCAGACAGGCUGCCUAAACACUUUCUGAACCCAUAGCUACCUCUAGAUGUGCCUCUUGACAUGGCCCUGCCCACCAGAGGUCAAGACCCAGCUCCAUCCACCAGUGGGUAGGCACAAGUCCCUCCCACCAGGAAGUAUGAACAAGCCCAUAGACCAGCCUCACCCACAAGGGGGCAGAUACCAGAAACAAGAAAUCUACAGUUCCACAGUCUGCAGAACUGAGUCUGAAAAACACAGAUUUAGACAAAAUGGACAGCAAAAGAAAUAUGUUCCAGAUGAAGGAACAAGAUAAAAGCCCAGAAGAACAACUAAGUGAUGAGGGAAGAGGCAAUCUACCCAAGAAAGAAUUCAGAGUAAUGAUCAUAAAGAUGAUCCAAGAACUCAGGAAAAGAAUGUAUACAUAGAGGGAGAAGUUUUUAAAAAGAGUUAGAAAACAUAAAUAACCCAACAGAGUUGAGGAAUGCAAUAAUUGAAAUUAAAAAUUCACUAGAAGGAAUUGUAGCAGAAUAAAUGAGGCAGAAGAAUGGAUAAGUGAGUUGGAAGACAGAGUGGUGGAAAUCACUGUCACAGAACAGAAUAAAGAAACAAGAAUGAAAAAAAACAAGGACAGUUUAAGACACCUUUGGGACAAUGUCAGAUGCACCAACAUUCACAUAAUAGACCCCCCCCGCCCCAAGGAGAGGUGCGAGAAAAAGUGUCUGAGGAAAUAUUUGAAGAGAUAAUAGCUGAAAACUUCCCUAACAUGGGAAACAGUCAUCCAAGUCCAGGAAGUAGAGUCCCAUACAGAAUUAACUGAAGGAGGAACUUGCCAAGGUAUAUAGUAAUCAAACUGACAAAAAUUAAAGAUAAAGAGAAAAUAUUAAAACCAACAAGGGGGAGUACCCUUCAUGGCGCAGUGGUUAACGAAUCCGACCAGGAACCAUGAGGUUGCGGGUUUGAUCCCUGGUCUUGCUCAGUGGGUUAAGGACUCGGCUUUGCCAUCAGCUGUGGUUUAGGUCGUGGGUGCAGCUCGGAUCCUGAGUUGCUGUGGCUGUGGUGUUGGCCGGUGGCUACAGCUCUAAUUGGACCCCUAGCCUGGGAACCUCCAUAUGCCACGAAAGCAGCCCUAAAAAAAGGCAAAAAGACCAAAAAAAAAAAAAAAA
ensembl:lncRNA